UACGUAGGUGACAAGCGUUGUCCGGAUUUACUGGGCGUAAAGAGCGCGCAGGCGGUCGUUCAAGUCGAGUGUGAAAGCCCCCGGCUCAACUGGGGAGGGUCAUUCGAUACUGAUCGACUCGAAGGCAGGAGAGGGUAGUGGAAUUCCCGGUGUAGUGGUGAAAUGCGUAGAUAUCUGGAGGAACACCGGUGGCGAAGGCGGCAUCCUGGACCAACACUGACACUGAGGAGCGAAAGCCAGGGGAGCAAACGGG
rnacentral:rRNA from 1 species